GCCUAGGAAUCUGCCUAGUAGUGGGGGAUAACGUCCGGAAACGGGCGCUAAUACCGCAUACGUCCUACGGGAGAAAGUGGGGGAUCUUCGGACCUCACGCUAUUAGAUGAGCCUAGGUCGGAUUAGCUAGUUGGUGAGGUAAUGGCUCACCAAGGCGACGAUCCGUAACUGGUCUGAGAGGAUGAUCAGUCACACUGGAACUGAGACACGGUCCAGACUCCUACGGGAGGCAGCAGUGGGGAAUAUUGGACAAUGGGCGAAAGCCUGAUCCAGCCAUGCCGCGUGUGUGAAGAAGGUCUUCGGAUUGUAAAGCACUUUAAGUUGGGAGGAAGGGCAGUUACCUAAUACGUGAUUGUUUUGACGUUACCGACAGAAUAAGCACCGGCUAACUCUGUGCCAGCAGCCGCGGUAAUACAGAGGGUGCAAGCGUUAAUCGGAAUUACUGGGCGUAAAGCGCGCGUAGGUGGUUUGUUAAGUUGGAUGUGAAAGCCCCGGGCUCAACCUGGGAACUGCAUCCAAAACUGGCAAGCUAGAGUAUGGUAGAGGGUGGUGGAAUUUCCUGUGUA
rnacentral:rRNA from 2 species